rnacentral:rRNA from 1 species
UACGUAGGCAGCGAGCGUUGUUCGGAGUUACUGGGCGUAAAGGGUGUGUAGGCGGUUGUUUAAGUUUGGUGUGAAAUCUCCCGGCUCAACUGGGAGGGUGCGCCGAAUACUGAAUGACUAGAGUGCGGGAGAGGAAAGUGGAAUUCCUGGUGUAGCGGUGAAAUGCGUAGAUAUCAGGAGGAACACCGGUGAUGUAGACGGCUUUCUGGACCGUAACUGACGCUGAGACACGAAAGCGUGGGUAGCAAACAGG